AAUCCAUAGGUUAAUGAGGCGAACCGGGGGAACUGAAACAUCUAAGUACCCCGAGGAAAAGAAAUCAACCGAGAUUCCCCCAGUAGCGGCGAGCGAACGGGGAGGAGCCCAGAGCCUGAAUCAGCAUGUGUGUUAGUGGAAGCGUCUGGAAAGGCGCGCGAUACAGGGUGACAGCCCCGUACACAAAAGCGCAUGUGCUGUGAGCUCGAUGAGUAGGGCGGGACACGUGGUAUCCUGUCUGAAUAUGGGGGGACCAUCCUCCAAGGCUAAAUACUCCUGACUGACCGAUAGUGAACCAGUACCGUGAGGGAAAGGCGAAAAGAACCCCGGCGAGGGGAGUGAAAAAGAACCUGAAACCGUGUACGUACAAGCAGUGGGAGCACAGGUUUACCUGUGUGACUGCGUACCUUUUGUAUAAUGGGUCAGCGACUUAUAUUCUGUAGCAAGGUUAACCGUAUAGGGGAGCCGUAGGGAAACCGAGUCUUAACCGGGCGUUAAGUUGCAGGGUAUAGACCCGAAACCCGGUGAUCUAGCCAUGGGCAGGUUGAAGGUUGGGUAACACUAACUGGAGGACCGAACCGACUAAUGUUGAAAAAUUAGCGGAUGACCUGUGGCUGGGGGUGAAAGGCCAAUCAAACCGGGAGAUAGCUGGUUCUCCCCGAAAGCUAUUUAGGUAGCGCCUCGUGAAUUCAUCUCCGGGGGUAGAGCACUGUUUCGGCUAGGGGGCCAUCCCGGCUUACCAACCCGAUGCAAACUGCGAAUACCGGAGAAUGUUAUCACGGGAGACACACGGCGGGUGCUAACGUCCGUCGUGAAGAGGGAAACAACCCAGACCGCCAGCUAAGGUCCCAAAGUCAUGGUUAAGUGGGAAACGAUGUGGGAAGGCCCAGACAGCCAGGAUGUUGGCUUAGAAGCAGCCAUCAUUUAAAGAAAGCGUAAUAGCUCACUGGUCGAGUCGGCCUGCGCGGAAGAUGUAACGGGGCUAAACCAUGCACCGAAGCUGCGGCAGCGAACGUAUCACCCAAGACAACUUUACGGAGUUGACGAUUGACGGAGCGAAGCGACGUCAAAGCGUUCAUUAAAGUCGAGUUGGCUUAGGGAUACGUUCGUUGGGUAGGGGAGCGUUCUGUAAGCCUGUGAAGGUGUGUCGUGAGGCAUGCUGGAGGUAUCAGAAGUGCGAAUGCUGACAUAAGUAACGAUAAAGCGGGUGAAAAGCCCGCUCGCCGGAAGACCAAGGGUUCCUGUCCAACGUUAAUCGGGGCAGGGUGAGUCGACCCCUAAGGCGAGGCCGAAAGGCGUAGUCGAUGGGAAACGGGUUAAUAUUCCCGUACUUGGUGUUACUGCGAAGGGGGGACGGAGAAGGCUAUGUUGGCCGGGCGACGGUUGUCCCGGUUUAAGCGUGUAGGUGUGUGUUCCAGGUAAAUCCGGUUCACUUUAACACUGAGGCGUGACGACGAGGCACUACGGUGCUGAAGCAACAAAUGCCCUGCUUCCAGGAAAAGCCUCUAAGCAUCAGGUAACACGAAAUCGUACCCCAAACCGACACAGGUGGUCAGGUAGAGAAUACCAAGGCGCUUGAGAGAACUCGGGUGAAGGAACUAGGCAAAAUGGUGCCGUAACUUCGGGAGAAGGCACGCUGACACGUAGGUGAAGUGAUUUACUCAUGGAGCUGAAGUCAGUCGAAGAUACCAGCUGGCUGCAACUGUUUAUUAAAAACACAGCACUGUGCAAACACGAAAGUGGACGUAUACGGUGUGACGCCUGCCCGGUGCCGGAAGGUUAAUUGAUGGGGUCAGCGCAAGCGAAGCUCCUGAUCGAAGCCCCGGUAAACGGCGGCCGUAACUAUAACGGUCCUAAGGUAGCGAAAUUCCUUGUCGGGUAAGUUCCGACCUGCACGAAUGGCGUAAUGAUGGCCAGGCUGUCUCCACCCGAGACUCAGUGAAAUUGAACUCGCUGUGAAGAUGCAGUGUACCCGCGGCAAGACGGAAAGACCCCGUGAACCUUUACUAUAGCUUGACACUGAACAUUGAGCCUUGAUGUGUAGGAUAGGUGGGAGGCUUUGAAGUGUGGACGCCAGUCUGCAUGGAGCCGACCUUGAAAUACCACCCUUUAAUGUUUGAUGUUCUAACGUGGACCCGUAAUCCGGGUUGCGGACAGUGUCUGGUGGGUAGUUUGACUGGGGCGGUCUCCUCCUAAAGAGUAACGGAGGAGCACGAAGGUUGGCUAAUCCUGGUCGGACAUCAGGAGGUUAGUGCAAUGGCAUAAGCCAGCUUGACUGCGAGCGUGACGGCGCGAGCAGGUGCGAAAGCAGGUCAUAGUGAUCCGGUGGUUCUGAAUGGAAGGGCCAUCGCUCAACGGAUAAAAGGUACUCCGGGGAUAACAGGCUGAUACCGCCCAAGAGUUCAUAUCGACGGCGGUGUUUGGCACCUCGAUGUCGGCUCAUCACAUCCUGGGGCUGAAGUAGGUCCCAAGGGUAUGGCUGUUCGCCAUUUAAAGUGGUACGCGAGCUGGGUUUAGAACGUCGUGAGACAGUUCGGUCCCUAUCUGCCGUGGGCGCUGGAGAACUGAGGGGGGCUGCUCCUAGUACGAGAGGACCGGAGUGGACGCAUCACUGGUGUUCGGGUUGUCAUGCCAAUGGCACUGCCCGGUAGCUAAAUGCGGAAGAGAUAAGUGCUGAAAGCAUCUAAGCACGAAACUUGCCCCGAGAUGAGUUCUCCCUGAGACUUAGAGUCUCCUGAAGGAACGUUGAAGACGACGACGUUGAUAGGCCGGGUGUGUAAGCGCAGCGAUGCGUUGAGCUAACCGGUACUAAUGAACCGUGAGGCUUAACCUUACAACGCCGAAG
rnacentral:rRNA from 1 species